CUCGAUUUUUCCUUUGAAAUGGGGGGGGGGAAAAAGUAUCUUCUAGAAGUUUAUCUAUUUCUUCCUUUUGGAUUCAGUCUUGUAUUUCAGAUUCCUGUAAAUCGUUUUCCGGAGUUUGAAAUGGUAAGCACAUGUUCUGUGAACACAGCCAAGCCGUGAUAAGGAAUUCAUCUGUCUGUGUCUCCAAGUUCCAUUUUGUUUCUACAGCUUUUAUGAUUGAAAAUGCACAUUUCUCAUGGGCACUCACAGAACUGAAGCAGCAUGAUUUGCAAGCUUGCUAAAUGGAUUUUUUCCAAGCAAGUCAUUGGGGUAUGUCAUCAAAGCUUAACAGCAUCAAAUAGAAUUCCAUCCAGGAAAAGUAUUAAAAAACCACCUCUAUACAGCUAUAUUUUUCAGUUAAUUCUCAGCAGCAGAAAGUGGGGGUGUGGAGAGGGGUUAUUGGAUUUCAGGAUUGUAGCAUGGAAACCAAAACCCUGGCUUUAUUUUUUGGUUUGACUGAAUUCCUGGUGAAGCUCGCUCAUGUCUUUCAUUAGGAAAGCAUGAGGACCAGGGUAUUUGUUCGUGGAUUGGACUUGCAGGAUAGAAAAGUGCGAAAGUGAAACGUCAGAAGUGUUUAUAUUUGCGGAGCAUCUUUUUCUGACUUUAGUAAGUAAAAUGUGGCUGUUUGGAAGUGAGGUGCUCUCCCCUUCCCUGAAGAUGCUGCAUGGUGAGGGUGGCAGCAAUAAAUAGAACAGGCGGAUCCGUGGGGACAUCACACAAUUCCUGGCUCUCGGGGACAGGACCGCAGCCACAAGCUGGUGGGUAAUUUGUCUGAUGCCACUGUCAUCCUUCCCCUGUUCAGUUGACUUGGUUUUCACUAUAGGAAGCAGAGAAUUCCACAUGCACGCUUAAUAUUAUCUGAAUUGUGGGAAAUUAGAUAAAGUGAGUUUUCUUUUAUUCCUGUUCACCUUCAUAGCUUGGAGAUGGAAGUUGUCAAAAUCAGCUGCAAAAACCUGUGCUGACUUUCCAAGGUGCUUUACAAAUCACUACAGGGCAACAUUUCUGUCCUGACUGGGUAAAGAUGUAUGUGCCAACCUCCUUCCUGUGAAUUAAAGGACUCAGAUGUUUAAAAUUACACAUGUGCAAAAAUUUGCUGCAUCCUGGUCUGAAAUGCAGCCAUUUAAGAUCUGGAACCCUGCAGCCGUUUAACACCUCGCUGUUAACACUCUCGACACAGGAGUGUAAGACAGAAAGGCAGGAGGAUUGCAUCCUAUGGAAUUGAUAUGACGUGAGAAGUUCAUCCUUUCUAUAGGUGUCCAACUGUGUGUUGUGUGGGGGGCUGAAAGCUAUUGUAUAAGCAUUGUGAGAUUUAUACUGGUUGGCAGGCGGGUUCCUAUGGAACUCGCUUUUUCUUCCCUCCUCUUCUUCUGUUGCACUCCUGAUGUAGAUACACACCUUUAAAAGUUGUCUCUAACGUAUUUGUUGUUGUGAUGAUGCAUUGAUGUCUCCUCCAACCUUCCAGGACUUGAAUGUGAUUUUGUUUCUUUGGCCCUGCAUAUGUGGCCGUAACAUCUGUCUGAAUCUUGAUGAUGUGGCAUCUUUGAUUGAGGUGACAAUUGCAAAAGAAGCGUUUUCCAGAAAUCUCAAAAAAACCCAACAACGACAAAAAAUCCCAAAUGAAAUGUCACUAUGGUGAUGUGGCCAGCUGAGCAGAGACCCUGAUAAUGUUCCAGGCCCUGCUCCUGUGAUGGCCAUGAUACAAACCCACAAUCCUGUGUCCGUAUCUAGAGCUUUUUGUUAUAUUUUGAGUGGAAUGUGAAACCUGCUUUUGCAUUUCGGUCUCAUCCUCUGCCUUGAGAGGUGAGUGCAGAAAGUGGACUCUCACAGCUCAGGGGUUAUUUUCCUUCCUUAUACAUUGCUUUUUAUUUAGGUUAGAAACAAGAAGGUAAAAGUCAAAUCAGAAGUGGAAUCAGAAGCCUGUGAGGCACCAUGUUCAUGGAGGAGGCUGUUGCCCAGUAUUUCCAGUCCAAGAAAGGGCCGUUUUGGGAAGAGGUGCUUUUUCACCCCUCUGUAGAGCUUUCUUGUGGCAGAAAAGCAUCAUCAUUCUGAUCAGACUUCACCCCAAAGGCCUGGAGGUCUUCCAGGUUGACAUGUCUUGCACUGAAGCUGUCGAGUAUGUUGAUGGGAUCAUGAAGACCUUGAAAUGGCUUGAACUAAAGCCCUGCAAAUGUUUCGCUUUGAAAUGGCUGCAGGCAAAGCCCCCUGUGCAGGGAUGUGCCAGGGUCAGUCCUUGCUCUGCCGUCUCGGCACACCGAUUGCUGACCGUCAGGUGAAAAAUUGCCACCACUUGAUGCCUGUUUCUUAAUAUAUGUGCAGCUGUACUUAUCCUGCAGCCUGUUAUCACCUAAAUAGCCGACUGUUCGAUCACCACUUGAAAAUCUUGCCACUGAAAUGAUGACUUAGAGCUUAUUUUUAAUGGGUUCUGGGAGACGCUUCAUGCAGUGACUGGGGAUUUUACUGGCUGAGUGGCACCCUGUCAUUUUUCUUUUUGCCCUUCUUUUUAUACUGACAGUCUUGGAAAUUGCGCUUUUCCCGCGUGACGUGCCCUUGGAGAAGGGCGUUCAGCAUCCUGCAUCUGUCACAUAAAGACCUUUGCAGAAUCACAGAAUGUCAGGGAUUGGAAGGGACCUCGAAAGACCAUCUAGUCCAGUCCUUCCACGCCACACAGCCGCAGCUCCUUCCCUGCUGUGUUUUUAUAAUCAGCACCCAUGGCAAAGCAGCGGGCACCAAGCCACGCAUCAAACCCACUGCUCACUGUGAAACCAGCAUCUGCUUAAGCAGCACUUAUGGCUGUUAACGCCGAGUGUUUAAUGCGGCUUUCUAGGCAGCACAGUGCCAGGUGCUGCCGAGCAAGGGAUUCCUUUGGCCGAUAAGCUUUGCAAAUCAAGACUGAGGAGGAUUUCCCCUUCUGUGCUCCGGCUGCUGUGCCAUUGCCUCUUUCAAUGCCAAGCUUUGAACAGCUGAGUUUGUUUCGCUUUGUUUUGUUCUCCCAAAUCAAUUAACAAAACUAUUUCCUUUUUAAAAGCAGCCGCACUCUUGCCUUCUCUAAUUGUGAUAAGGAUAUUUUUUCAGUGCAGGGAGCGCCAGGGGUUUUGUUCAGGUUCUGAGAGACCUUUAUUUGGUCUCUUUCUGCCAGUCCUGCUAAAACCAGGAGGGUGCGGAGGGGUGAUAUGGGGCACACACCACGAAGAGGCAUCCUUAUGGAAAACAAAGCAGGUGUGUGAGUCAGAGGGUGACAGAUCCCUCUUUUGUGCUUGUAGCAAUAGUUUUGCAUCUUCUUGUGCUGUUUGACAGUGAAGAUCAUUUAGGAAGAAACUAUUCUGUUUUUUUUCUCUGUGCUGGGCUAUUAAAUAACAAGAAGGGACUGUUCAUCCCUGCCUACCUGGACUAUUUUUGUUGUUGCCUUAAUUGCUUCAUUCUCACAACCCAGACUCAAUCUUUUCAGAAAAUCGGAGCCUUGAAUUUCAUUCCAGGAUCUUGAGGAAAUCUCGCAUCUCCCUGCCAUUUCCCAGCCUCUCUCAUCUACGAGAACAAACUCCAUCUCUCCCCGCCUGAUAUACUCUGAAUUUCCUCAGGGAUUAUCUAAACAGAGCCCACGUGAUCCAUUUCUCUCAACCCCUCUACAAACGGGGAAGCAUAAAUCACAGUUCCCUACAAAUAAACACAACUGGCAAGAUGUUAUUCUUCUCUGUCUGAAGUAACACCGGUCCUUUCAUCUGCCGCCUCCUGGAAGCAUGUCUGUUCAGAGAAAGUACAACCAUUACGGUGUACACACAAUGUUCUUCUGCCACUUCUCCUUGCAAGCUAUAAUGGGAACCCUGUGCCAGAAACAUGGAAAGAAAUGCAGCCAAGUGAAUACCUCUCACUGUUUUCACUUCUCUUCUUCGACUUGGCUUUGAAACCAGAAAACAUUCCUGCUUGUGAGGAAAGGAACAGCCGGCUAAGAAAGGGAAAAUCCUGACCAUGAAAUCCCGCUGCAGCUGAAUUUUCAGACUUGUGACUUUCAUUCAAGCGUCGUGUUAUAGUUGGGGGGUUGUUGGGACAUAGUUAAUUCUGAAAAUAUUCUUUGUAAAUUGAAGAAGUAAGUUCUUGCCAUAACAAAAACAACUCCAAGUUGAACAUUUAAAAAUGCUCCAAAAAUUGGAGAUGUUUUUACAGUUAAACCUCGUCUGGAGUUCAUUUAAAAUAAUCAUGUUUACAUGGAGGUGAAUUAGUGCGCUGAGCUCUGCCAAUGCCUCGCUGCAGUUAAAAGCACACAGCCAAGAAUUAUAACCCUGGUAAUUCGGUCCCUCAUGGGUACGUGCAAGAGCCCAGAGGCAGAAAGGCCGUGCUGGGGGUCGGUGGGACCCAAAAUCCCUUUAAUCAAUGAUGAAACCUGUAAGAAUAUUCCAGAGGGAAUAAGCGCUGGGUCUACGCUUUGCCUUUCAUUACAAAACAACUAUUUGUGUGUUUGCAGAGGGAAGCCUAUACAGAGGUGCUGUUGCUGUGUCUGCUGAGGGUGGGAUCCAGUUUGCUGGGCAGUGAAGAUGUCCCCGUCUCUGGUAGCCCUCUGCACCUCCUCGUGGUUUUUGGAACAGGCCCUCUAGGAUGUGAGUCAUCUCUGCUCUUGGAGACGCCUCCUUUGGGGGUUGUCCUAGACAUCUCUAAACCACAACACCGUGUUCAUCAAACCGAUGUACAGAAAAGCAUCUUCCCUGCUUAUCAUCACUGCCGGACAAACGGCACGACAAAGUGCCUUGCUCUGCUCCUGCUCCCUGUGGAUGGCAAUGGAUGGACUCCUGAUUUAUAUCAUUGGAGAAACAGCAGCCAAAAUCAUCUGGAAAGCAUUCCUUGCUAGAGACAAACUGGAUCGGUAAGUGGAAAUGUCAGUUUUUAAGAAUCUCCGCCACUGCUUUGAAGUAACUUCAUUUUUUUGUUUGAUUGCUCUGAUUCAAAAGCUUUAUCUUCCAGGCUAUCUCUUAAAAAAGGAAAUUUAGUGGCUGCAGAUAGCAUGAAACAAAAAGAAAGCUGCCAAAUCCUGAUCUUUUGAUGCUGGUCUCUUCAGAAGGCUGCCUAGGUGGGCUGGCUCCUGGGCUCCCGCUCCGACUGGGCAGCACUGCUGAGCUGAACGUGGUUACUCCCUGUUCCUGUGAUGCUGGAGAGGUCAGAAUAGGACCCCCCGUCUUUAAUUUCUGUUUGUGUUGCUGAGCUUAGCCUUGGAAAUGGAAAUCUGACUUGAAAAGGAGCUACUUGUGAUUAGAGGUUGUGAAAAAAAAAAAAAUCUAAUGAGUUGCUGCUUUUAAUUCCACAUUUGAAAGGCAAUCUAUUACUGUCUUUUAUCACUUCUGUCUCCUAUUAGAGAAGCAAUCUCAUGCUGGGACUCUUUCAACACCCAGGCAGUUAAUAUACAUUAUAAUUAUUGCCUAAUGUAUGAAUAGCCUGGUGUGCCCAAGUUCUCUGUGCGUUUUUACUCCGCUCCUGGAAAGCCCAUACAGUACAUCAGCAGAGCUGGAGUGAGGAUCUCAUGAGACCGAUGAAGGUUUUAUUUUAAAUUAUUUAUUUUUUGCAUUGGGCUGUCACCUCAGGGGUUCUGUUUGAGAACAAAUGCAGAAUACUCGUGUAGGAAGAGGUGAUUCCUGACCUGGAGAGGUUAUGGAGAGAUGGGUAGAGGAGGAAAAAGAAGGGGAGAAAUCCCAGGAGAUGAGCAGGGGAUAGUACUGAGGACAUCAGCUGUCCGUGAGCUUGGGAGGUCUGGGUUUAUGAUGGAAUUCCAGCUGCUGUUAAGAAAACCAAACCAAAACAAAUAAUGACAUUUUUUAAAGGAAAACAUUUCCUCAAAUGUCAUUUCAACCAGAGCAAAAAUAUUUUUUGUCCCUGAUUUAUACAUGUGUGCUAAUUUUCAGGUCAUUUAGCCACAUUUAAAGCAAAAAGCAGAAGCAAAAAGGGUCUGAAUGCUGACUGUCAAAGCAAAACCUUCGCCCCACACCGAAGGAGGGGUUUGAUUUGCCCCUGGUCUCCCAGCUGCGGUCUCACUGCUCAAAGACACUCAGGACCAGCACGGGGUUGCCGCUCGCUGCCCCGACUGAUGAGCGACGCAGCCAUCAAACCCCAACCUCUCCGUGACCCGGCACGUGGGUUUUCAGACAAGCCAGAAGCUCACAGCGGGUUGUGAAAAUCCUUUAUUCCUCACCACAUGUUGGGGACAGCUUGAUGCAACGAUGUGGUUUCGGUGCUGCAACGAGCACCAGGCAGCGUGGCACAGCUUUAUCCUUUGAACGUUCAUUUGAACCUUCUCUCGAGGCUGCUGGCAAACUCCUGGUUCUCCCUCUUCCCCAUGGCAGCUUCCCUGAGGACCAUCCACAUCCAAGGAUGAUGUGAACCCGAGACCUCACCGAUAAACCACUCUAUGAACCACCAUCGCUGGAGGAUGGAAGUCUGGGCUGUUCCUUCCACCCCAUGGGGUGCUCAUCCCUGCCAGGAACCCACAUUGGUCACAACACCAAGACCAGCUGGAUUGGCUCAAACCUGCAGGAUUUACCUCUUCCUAGAACUGCUCUUAGAAUGCAGUUAAUUAUUUACAAGCCUUAACACUUACAGCCACAUGGACCCAAGGAUAGAAGGGCAUUAGAAUUCCUCUUGAUGCUCACCAGGCCUGACUAAUAAAAUAAUGUCCAACAAGGACAUCAAUUAGCCGCCGAUUCGCUAACGCUUUGCGAGGCUAAUGACAGCUGGGGCGAGGAAUUUGAAACCCGAGUCAUUUCUCCAGCCUGCACCGGGGGUGCCAGGGAUAAAAGGUUAAAGAGUUUUGGAGACCAGGAUGGAAAUAGAUGGAAAACUUAUGCAUGGAUGAAAGGCCUGAAAUGAAAUACAUUAUGCAUGAGGCUAACAGCUGGAAUCUGAGAGCUGCUUUGAAGGUAAUCACCUGAAAAGCGAGAAUGAUUCUGGGCAACAAUUUCAGCCUACUGCAGAAGCACCAAAAUGGUUAUCAGAACCCAGUUUUCCUUUUAAAGGAAAGACAAAGUCGAAACCGCAUGAUUGGAGUUGCCUUUUCCAGACAAACUAGACACAUCCCUCCCUCCCUGUGUCCUCUCCCCGGCCUGGAGGGACAGGCAGCUGCUGAGUCUGAGCCAGGACAGGGCUGGCAGUGCUGUCCCGUGACUAACAGCGCCAUCGGAGGGAGAAGCUUUGAUUUGCAGUGCCAGCAUCUUUUGAAACGAAAUAACUUCCCCAGUGCUGCUUUGCCCAAUGGUCCUGUCUGCACAUCUGAUGCUCACACAGCAAACGGUUUGCGGAUGCUUGGGUUGAUAGAAAAUGUGUUCUUCCAGGACAAAGCCUUCACUAAAGAAGAUUAAAAAGUGAUAUUUUCUCUUAAGACAACAUUGAGAAGAAGCUCGAUACUACAAAAAUGGUAGAACAAUUAAAACAACAGAGAUUCAGGUACCAUUGCAGGUCAGUUUGCACCUGAAUUCAAAGCCAGCCUUUUGCAUGUGGCAGUUUCUCAGCUCACGUUUUAAGUUAAGGCUCAGAGACUGACAGCAAGUCCCUCCGGAGCCCUGUCUGUUCCGAUUCACAUCCCGUUGUUUACGUGUCGUGGGCUCCAUGACUGCACACCUGACCUUCCAAGUUUUAUGGGACUCACUGAUGCGAAGCCUGGAGCCAACAACACCUCCCUUCCUCCAGGCACGUGCCUUGAGCAACAGCAGGAGGACUGUGUUUGUUCUCCCUCGCACAGUGGAAAGGGAAAGAGAUUUACGUUGGCUUUUUUUUAGUGGUUUCUUGACCUGUUGUUAUACACUUAAUGAGACUCACUUCUGUUAACCAUCUGAGUAUGGAAAACCAGCAAAGAGACAGUGUGUGGAGAUGAAGCUGAAAAAUUUAGGUUAAGUUCUUAAAUGCAAAAUUAAGUUCUUAAAUGCAAAGAACGGGAGGAUGAGAUAGUGAGAGCAAAGUGAUGCACUGAGGGCUGCCUAGCAGACCAAUACUACAACAAGGUCUUUUCAGCUUUCUUCCUUACAUGUGGCAUCUUCUGGUUUACAUGGAGAGCCCAAACGACAGGGAAUGGUACACCAAAUUCUUCUGCCUCUGCCGCUGAUGUGUGACCUUGGUUGAGUUACUCAGCCCACCUCAGGUUGCCCAUAUGCAAAAGAAGGUUAAAAGCCAGCUCAUAAAAUGUGCUCUUUGGUGCAAACAAGGUAUGUGCAGAUUGCCUCUGAUUCAAGGACCAUUUUUCACUGGCAGUGGAGUUGAUGUAAAGGGGCCUUUGGCCAAGUGAGCAUCAGUUGAUACCGAAUGGACUCCUUCGAGGCUGUGAGGUUAGAGUUUUCUGAGUAAAAAAAAUAAAGGCAAAAGUGCGAAUGUCCUUGCUGUUGCUGUCAGAUUUGUAUGAGCUAAAACAUGUUGUGGGUGCAAUUUGAUCUUGCUCAGCUUCCCACGGCAUUCAGGAAGCUUGGAAAGCCUUUCCAUGAGCACUUCCACCCAGCUCCAGGCUCCCAUCACGUGUCCUACUUCAGCUGAGGUGUUCUCGUGUCCAAAGAGCACAACUGCAGCCAUCUCUGCUUUGUCACAGGCAGUUUGAAUGCAAAUUGUGCUGGAAAUUAUGUCCUUUCUUCUGGGAAGGGCUUACUGCUUUGAGCAUGAACCUCUCUGGUCCUGGGUUGAACACUGAGCUGUGUCUAUUAGAGAUGUGUGGUGAGGUCAGUGAGAUGAUUCAGCUAGCAGGGAAAGUAUGAAGUGUGUAAAUCUGUGUGGGACAAAACAUGUGGCUCAUGCUGCUGUCACUAUCGCUAUACCUUCAUCACUCACCGUAAUUAACUGACCAGGUUAGCCCUGUAUGGGGAAAGUGUCUGCACCGUCUGAAACAGUACUACAUUACUGCCUAACAUGAGAGCUGUUGCUAUAUAAUUAA